rnacentral:lncRNA from 9 species
GCCGGAGCAAGAACAACGGCGUGAAGAGCUAAAAGCGAUUCCAAGGAAAUGUAGCAGAAGUGUCAGUCCAGCUGCACUCAUGUCCUGGCAAAAGGGACAGACCGAGCCGGCUGCUUCCCCAUGUGCUCUGGUGCUGGUCUCCCACCGGGACACAGAGCAGGGCCGGGGCUCCAAGCACUGCUUUAGGGUCUCCCAGAAGUGCAAGGAAGCCUCACGCGAUGCCUGAUUCAGAAGUAGGCUGCUACCAGGCAGCUUUGUGCAUUUGGUGGCUUCCUUGGAAACUCAUCAAACGCUUGGCACAAACGCGUCCCUCCUCCAGUGACAGGAGCUCACACUUCGGCAAGCAUCAAACUGCUCUGAAAUGUGAUAACGGCGUCUGUCAAUUUCUGCACACAGAGUGCUGUUUUCUGCAGCGGGACUGUUUGUCUUGGCCUUCUGGAGCUGUAGGAGCUUUCAGACCCCCUACUCCUUGGAGCAAGGUUUGGGGGAUAGAUGGGGUACAAAAGGGCAGGGCAGGUUUUGGGAGAGGUGGGGAGCGCUCAUAGGAGCGCUCCAUUUGUGGGGUAGUGGGAGAAGGGAGGGUUCUGGGGACAUUCCUUAGCCAGGCGGCAGGCACAGCUGCGAAUGACAGCAGCUGCAGAGCCCAGAAUGGGUCUGAGCCUGGCCUCUCCCUCCCUACGCCUGGCGGACAACCUCCUGGUCCCUGGCCACAUUGCUGCCUCCGACUGGCAGCACAGGACACUCAGCCUUCCCCCCGCCCCCCACCGCAAUGAGGUUUGAGCAGGUGCUGGGGGUGGGGAGAGGAGUAGGCGUGUCUUAGAAGGAGAAGGACGAUGGGGUGGCAGAGGUGGCACUGUGCCUGGUGUUUUGGGGACUGAAAGGAGGACACGUUCAUUGUUUGGAUGCAUUUGUAAUUUAAGACUACAUCUUUCCUAAAGCAGGUGCUGCUGCAAUGGGGUGAGCGCGGAGCAAACAUUGAAAGGCUUUGAGCUGGGUAAGGGCAGGUUCAGGAGGCAGGUCUGCCUGCAGGGUGGAGGGAAGCUGGAUGGAGCAGACACCCCAGAGGCUGUCCAGUGGUCCAGGUGGACAAGGAAGGGGGUGGUGGGGAUGGAGACCACAGGAAGAUCCAGGGCUUGGGCAGGGCGUGUAGGACUUAGGAUGUUCUGUUCCCCUCUGUCCUUAGCCCUGAUACAACAAUAUGCUUAAGCCGUCUUCUCCCCUUCUAGGAGCUCAGUGGACCCUCAGAGCUCAUGGAGGACCUGACAAGGGUUCUCUUAGAAAGGGGCUAAUGGAAAUGUCCUUUAGGAAAGGUGAGGAUUCUUCCUGCUGGAUGCCAUGAAGAUUAAGGAUGACGGAGCCUCCAUCUGAGUGACUCAUUUCUGGGCAGUGAUGGGGGUCCUGGCCCUCAGCCACUGCUCCUGGUGUCCCAAGACUCCCCCAGCGAUCCUUAAUCAGGCCACUAGCCAUGGCAGCAUUUGGUGUGCUUCACCUGUUGUGGUUAUUUUCCUAACUAUGCCCCGAUCGUCCCAUUCUUAAGCUGGUGCGAGCUUAUUCAAGUUAACUCUUGAAUUUUUCUGAGCCAAUCUCAGUCGUUUCGGCUUUGGUCUGGCGAGAAGCUUUAGGGUCUGUGCAUUUCCCGCUUUGAAUCUGGAAUCAGCCAUUUCUCCAAGUGGCCCUGGUUCCUUUUGGUGGGAAAUGGUAUUGAGAGGUCACACUCUAGGUAAAUGUGUCCCUCCUUUCUUGGCCAAAAAUGCCACAGACGCUCCAAAAGUGUGUGAUGUCAAAUUUUGUAAGAAACUUUUAGAUUUUUGCUAAUUUUAGUGGGUAAAAAUUGUUACCUUAGGGUUGUUAAUAAUUUGCCUCUCAUUACGAGUAAGGUUGAGUAGUUAUGAAAAUAUGUAUGUAUAUAAACUGCAGUGGCUUGGGUCGUUGCUAUGGCAUGGGUUUGAUCCCUUGCCUGGGGACUUCUGCAUGCCUUGGGAGCGGCCACACACACACACACACACGCCAUUUGCUCAUUUUUUAAAUUAUUAUUUUUUGGCUGCUCUGAGGCACAUGGAGUUGCUGGGCCAGGGGUCAGGUCCAAGCCACAGUUUCAACCUAGCUGUGGCAACACCUGAUCCUUUAACCCACUGCGCUGGGCUGGGGAUCGAACUUGCAUCCUGGUGCUGCAGAGAUGCCACCAAUCCCGUUGCACCACAGUGUGAACUCCUCAUUUGCUCAUUUUAAAAUGGGAUUGUUUGUUCUUGUCGACUUUAGUUUUAGAAGCUCUUUGUUUACAAGGAUAUUAACCUUUGUCUUUUACAUAAGUUACGAAUAUUUUUCCUGGUUUUUCUUUGGUCUUUUUACUUUGUUUAUAGUGUUUUUUGUCACUCAGAAGUUUUUGUUUUGUUUUGUUUUGUUGUAAAGAUCAUGACUUCAUAACCUAGACUGCAAAGAUGGACUUCAAGGAGUCUGAAUGCACUGUUUUUUGUGCAGAUUUCAGGCUAUAUAAACACAUAUGCAUCUUCCUGGGAAAAGAGUCGAUUUCUUUCAUUAGCAUUCCAUCAUUUAAGAGCUUACCUUUAAAUUCUCGAAAUCUAGGAGUCCUUGCCCUUAAGCUUUGGCAAGGGCCUCACCUCUGCCCCCUCAGACUUCAGUUUCUCCCCUGAACAGUGAGGGGCCUGGGCAAAAGGCCCCUUAGGGCUUCUCUCCAGAGUCUGGAUCUGCCCAGGCUCCCCCUGAAGCAGCCCCCCAGACCUUAUUCCUCCUGGCCUUUUGGCAGGAGGUGCCACUCUCAUUUGCUAAAUUCCUCCCCAAUCAUCCCCCAGGAGACCUAGACACCGGAUGAGUCACCUUUCUAUUGGGAAAGGUCUCCCUGAGUUAGCCAUGAGGGUUGCUAGAAGUUCAAGGUAAACCAAAGUUCUAAUAAAUGAAGUAGUACCCACAGUACUGCCCCAGAAUGGAGAGGAUUUGGCACUCAGGAAUAAAUUCACCAGCAGAGAUUAGUGGAUAAUUGGACAUUAAUUCUUUGUGAACGCAAACAAAUUAAACUUCACUUGGGUGGUGAAGGGACCAGGCUGCCUGUGGAAUGCACUGUCCUGGCCUUUGGAGGCUUAAUCUUCUCACCAGGGCUGGAGGUGGGGUGAGGAGAUGACUAAUUAAAUGUUUUUUAAAAAAGUCUCUACAAUGUUGGAAAAGCCCUCAAAGCUGAAAUCCCUUUGGAAAGAACAAUCCACAAGUCCUUGAAUUGUUCCUCUGUUUACACUUGACUUAGUGUCCUGUUGGUGUGUGUCUAGGGAGAAACCCGUCUGCUAUCCCAGGAAAUACCUUAACCACCCCCAGAGAAGGGAUCAGACCCCCUUAGACAUUGACCAUCCCUGAAAGUCUCCAACCCAAAUGGGCCAUUUGUCUUUCCCUACAGAGCUCACAGGGCUGUGAGUCCUGUGACAAAUAGCCUUUCUCUGGACCCUGGGCCCCUAGCGUGGAGCUACUGGUGGGCUUGGGGUCUGGGCAGAGAUGGCCACUUGGCCUGGCUUCUUGGCUUUAGAGAGGAGUAGGUUGGGAGUUUCAGAGGAAACUAGGACAAUCGUCCAGCAGCCAGCACGGGGCAGGGCCCAGAGCGACCGCUUGGUCAAGGCUGGAGCAUGAGUGUCGCAGUGGGAGGGCUGGGACCGAAUGCACGAUGAGGGCCCUGGAGCCGCACGGCUAAGCAGGGCGGUGGACAUUGUGGCCUGGGGCUUCCGUCCGCCACACAGAAUGUGCCAGAAGGGUUCUCUUUCUGCAACUCAACUUCUGCAACCCUUGCAUUUGCCAGAGUGACAUCCUUUGUCCUCCAUCCCCCCCAGUCCAUGAAAACAAAACCUACGUUAAUCCCCACCUCUCACCACCCCACAAAGGGCCAGUAAGCUGGACAUGAGAGCUUAUGGUCCUGAAAGAUGCUGGUCCAACCUCCCGGUCCUCAGCCCCAAGCUCUGCCUGGCAGGUGCCUCCCUGCUUCCCUUUUCCUAAACUUCAUGGCACCCAAAUGUUCAAAAUCAGCCAGGAACUCUUGCCAACAGGGGCUGCUCACUGGGCAGCCGGGCCUGACCAGGACUUGGGUACAGUUGCUCUUACUGGGCUUUUUGGGAAACAUUUAUGCUGCCAUGCCCAUCGAUCGUCUGCCCAGUGGCGGUGCUUGGGGGGCUCUCUGAGCACCCUGCCUCGCUACUCUUUCUGCCCUUCGUGCAUCUGGGCCACUCCUUGCCAGACCCUGCCGAGGCUCAGAAGGGCUCUCUUGAGUUAGUCUCUGCAGGGUCCACCUUCUAGUUGCCCUCAGAGUUUCUUAUGCCCUUGGCUGUCCUUGGUGCCAAGGUCACGGAAAUGAAGUCCCAAGGAGCAGUGCUGCAGGCGGGGGAGGGGCCGCGUGCGUGCUGGGUCUCUGGACCUGGGACACUUGUCCUUAAACCGGAUCUGCCUCUGCCCAGUGAUGCGACCUUGGCUGGUUCCUGGAGGAGGGCCGGGAAGCCAGGCCCACACCCCUCUCCUCUGAACAAGGCAUGGUCUGGCUGCCUAGCGCUGUCCCUUCAGGUGAAUUCCCUGAGCUACGGCUGCCUCAGCUGUAACAUGGGGAUAAGAAUUCCUUCCCCAUUGAGUGUUUGCAGGAGAAGAUAUGUGGUAAUUAUAGGAAACCCACCGCAGAGCAAUUUGCUGAUGCCAAUCAGGAUAAUCCCAGCUGUCUGCUUCCUGGUCUUGGCCUUCAUUUAGGGUCUAUGCUUUUACUAUAUAUAGAUAGCUUUUGGCAUCUGCCUUUCCUGGGUCGAAUUCUUCCUCCCUACGGAAGAUGCAGUAGAUACGGCAUGCAGUAUAUAAUGUUAUAUAGCCUAUGACAGUGCACAGUUUGUAGCAGUCCCCAGUACAUAAAUGUUAUACAGUAUACCACAGUAUGCAGCGUAUAACAGUACCUAACAUUAGGGCAUACAUAACAGUAUACAGUGUGCAACGUAUAUGGUGCAUAUAAUAGUAGACAGCACUUAACAGUAUAGAGUAUUAAUAAUACACAGUAUAUAGCAGUAUACAGUACCUAACAGUAUACACUGCUUAACCGUAUACAGCAUAUAACACUAUACAGUAUGUAACAGAAUAAGGCCUCUAACAGUAUGCGGUGUAUAACAGUGUACAGGAUGCAAGGGUAUGCGGUCUAUAAGAGUAUACGGUAUUAAGGAGUAUGUGACAUAUGACAGGAUAUGACAAUACAUGUGAAAAUGUUAACUGUUUAGGUGAUUUAAACAUUUUUUCUGUGUUGAUUUCAUUUUCUAAAAGGCAAGUAGGUUGCACUGGUUUAGUAUCAGGCUGCAGGACCAGAUUGCCAGGGCUCCAAUCACAGCUCUACCAAUUAUGAGCUGUAUAAUCUCAGGCAAGUUGACCUCUCUGAAACUCAGUUUGCUCAUCUGUACAAUGGAGACAAAAGACUAACGCUUAGACUAAGAACUUUUAAAAUUCAACAGUAAAAAAACUCACAAAAAUCCAGUUAGAAAAUGGGUAGAAGAUGGAGUUCCCGUCGUAGCUCAGUGGAAAUGAAUCUGACUAGCAUCCAGAGGAUGCAGGUUCAAUCCCUGGCCUUGCUCAGUGGGUUAAGGAUCCGGGAUUGCCAUGAGCUGUGGUGUAGGCUGCAGAUGCUGCUUGGAUCUGGCAUUGCUGUGGCUGUGGUGUAGGCUGGCCACUGCAGCUCCAGUUGACCCCUAGCCUGGGAACCUCCAUACACUGUGGAUGUGGCCCUAAAAAGACAGGGAAAAAAAAAAGAAAAAGAAAAAAAA